CACGUAGGCGGGUUCUUAAGUCGGAGGUGAAAUCCUGGAGCUUAACUCCAGAACUGCCCCCGAUACUGGGAAUCUCGAGUUCGGGAGAGGUGAGUGGAACUGCGAGUGUAGAGGUGGAAUUCGUAGAUAUUCGCAAGAACACCAGUGGCGAAGGCGGCUCACUGGCCCGAUACUGACGCUGAGGUGCGAAAGCGUGGGAGCAAACA
rnacentral:rRNA from 1 species